rnacentral:rRNA from 1 species
GGGUUGUGAGGUUAAGCGACUAAGCGUACACGGUGGAUGCCCUGGCAGUCAGAGGCGAUGAAGGACGUGCUAAUCUGCGAAAAGCGCCGGCGAGGUGAUAUGAACCUUUGACCCGGCGAUGUCCGAAUGGGGAAACCCAGUGUGUUCCGACACACUAUCGUUAACUGAAUACAUAGGUUAACGAGGCGAACCGGGGGAACUGAAACAUCUAAGUACCCCGAGGAAAAGAAAUCAACCGAGAUUCCCCCAGUAGCGGCGAGCGAACGGGGAGCAGCCCAGAGUCUGAAUCAGCUUGUGUGUUAGUGGAAGCGUCUGGAAAGUCGCACGGUACAGGGUGACAGUCCCGUACACGAAAAUGCACAGGUUGUGAACUCGAAGAGUAGGGCGGGACACGUGGUAUCCUGUCUGAAUAUGGGGGGACCAUCCUCCAAGGCUAAAUACUCCUGACUGACCGAUAGUGAACCAGUACCGUGAGGGAAAGGCGAAAAGAACCCCGGCGAGGGGAGUGAAAAAGAACCUGAAACCGUGUACGUACAAGCAGUGGGAGCCUCUUUAUGGGGUGACUGCGUACCUUUUGUAUAAUGGGUCAGCGACUUAUAUUCUGUAGCAA